rnacentral:rRNA from 1 species
AGUGAACGCUGGCGGUAGGCCUAACACAUGCAAGUCGAACGGCAGCACAGUAAGAGCUUGCCCUUACGGGUGGCGAGUGGCGGACGGGUGAGGCAUGCAUCGGAAUCUACUUUUUCGUGGGGGAUAACGUAGGGCAACUGACGCUAAUACCGCAUACGAUCUACGGGUGAAAGCAAAGGUUCUUCGGACCUUGCGCGACUGAAUGAGCCGAUGCCGGAUUAGCUAGUUGGCUUGGUAAAGGCCCACCAAGGCGACGAUCCGUAGCUGAUCUGAGAGGAUGAUCAGCCACACUGGAACUGAGACACGGUCCAGACUCCUACGGGAGGCAGCAGUGGGGAAUAUUGGACAAUGGGCGCAAGCCUGAUCCAGCCAUACCGCGUGAGUGAAGAAGGCCUUCGGGUUGUAAAGCCCUUUUGUUGGGGAAGAACAGCAGCAGGUUAAUACCCCGCUGUUCUGACGGUACCCAAAGAAUAAGCACCGGCUAACUUCGUG